GAGCCGGGGGGAACCAAAUGUUAUUGAAGGGCGAUUCCAGGCUAGGACUGGGAGUCGGCAGGAACCAGAGACUGGAACCGGCGGAACCAAAUUCUGUUGAGGAGGGAUUCCAAGUUGGAACCUGGAACCUGCAGGGACCCAGUGUUAGUUCUUGCGUCGAAUUAUGCUACAACCGUUAGCAUGGUGUUAUACUCCCUUAGAGGAGUGUUCUGGGAUCCCAACUGUGCGAGCUUUAGAUCUGAUGAGAGUAAGUCAUUCCUUGCCCCCAGGUGGAUGGGGUUAAGAUAUUUUCGAGAGGAUACACGUAAUGUUCCUCCUACCUAUCACGUCGUCACGCAGUAUAUGACUGCCCCUC
rnacentral:lncRNA from 1 species